rnacentral:rRNA from 1 species
CACGUAGGGCGCAAGCGUUGUCCGGAAUUAUUGGGCGUAAAGAGCUCGUAGGCGGUCUGUUACGUCUGCUGUGAAAACCCGGGGCUUAACCCUGGGCUUGCAGUGGAUACGGGCAGACUAGAGGCAGGUAGGGGAGAAUGGAAUUCCUGGUGUAGCGGUGGAAUGCGCAGAUAUCAGGAGGAACACCAAUAGCGAAGGCAGCUCGCUGGGACGUUACUGACACUGAGGCGCGAAAGCGUGGGGAGCGAACAGG